UAGGUACUCCCUUCGUUCAGAAUUACUUGUCAUAAAAAUGAAUAUAUCUAUAACUAAAAUGCAUUUAGAUACAUUCAUUUCUUGAACAAGUAAUUCCGAACGAAGGGAGUAUAAG
rfam:Triticum aestivum genome assembly, contig: Triticum_aestivum_CS42_TGACv1_scaffold_159440_2DL